GCUCCGGUGGCCUAGUGGUUAGAGCAUCCGCCUCGGAUGCGGUUGGUCAUUGGUUCUAUCCCCGGUUGAAUCA